rnacentral:rRNA from 1 species
GUCGAGAAUAAUUCACAAUGGACGAAAGUCUGAUGGUGCAACGCCGCGUGGAGGAUAAGGUCUUCGGAUUGUAAACUCCUGUCAUGCGUGAACAAGGUUGCUUGGUUAAUACCUGGGCAAAUUGAUGGUAACGCAAGAGGAAGAGACGGCUAACUCUGUGCCAGCAGCCGCGGUAAUACAGAGGUCUCAAGCGUUGUUCGGAAUCACUGGGCGUAAAGGGUGCGUAGGUGGCGUGGUAAGUCAGAUGUGAAAGCCCGGGGCUCAACCUCGGAACUGCAUCCGAUACUGCCAUGCUAGAGUACUGGAGAGGUGACUAGAAUUCUCGGUGUAGCAGUGAAAUGCGUAGAUAUCGAGAGGAAUACCAAAGGCGUAGGCAGGUCACUGGACAGUUACUGACACUGAGGCACGAAGGCCAGGGGAGCGAACGGGAUUAGAAACCCGGGUAGUCC